CCUACGGGUGGCAGCAGUGAGGAAUAUUGGUCAAUGGACGAGAGUCUGAACCAGCCAAGUAGCGUGAAGGAUGACUGCCCUAUGGGUUGUAAACUUCUUUUAUAUGGGAAUAAAACGAGGCACGUGUGCCUUUUUGUAUGUACCUUAUGAAUAAGGAUCGGCUAACUCCGUGCCAGCAGCCGCGGUAAUACGGAGGAUCCGAGCGUUAUCCGGAUUUAUUGGGUUUAAAGGGAGCGUAGAUGGGUUGUUAAGUCAGUUGUGAAAGUUUGCGGCUCAACCGUAAAAUUGCAGUUGAAACUGGCAGUCUUGAGUACAGUAGAGGUAGGCGGAAUUCGUGGUGUAGCGGUGAAAUGCUUAGAUAUCACGAAGAACCCCGAUUGCGAAGGCAGCUCACUGGACUGUAACUGACACUGAGGCUCGAAAGUGUGGGUAUCAAACAGGAUUAGAUACCCGGGUAGUC
rnacentral:rRNA from 1 species